GACGAACGCUGGCGGCGUGCUUAACACAUGCAAGUCGAACGGAAAGGCCCUGCUUUUGUGGGGUGCUCGAGUGGCGAACGGGUGAGUAACACGUGAGUAACCUGCCCUUGACUUUGGUAUAACUUCAGGAAACUGGGGCUAAUACCGGAUAGGAGCUCCUGCUGCAUGGUGGGGGUUGGAACGUUUCGGCGGUUGGGGAUGGACUCGCGGCUUAUCAGCUUGUUGGUGGGGUAGUGGCUUACCAAGGCUUUGACGGGUAGCCGGCCUGAGAGGGUGACCGGCCACAUUGGGACUGAGAUACGGCCCAGACUCCUACGGGAGGCAGCAGUGGGGAAUAUUGCACAAUGGGCGGAAGCCUGAUGCAGCAACGCCGCGUGCGGGAUGACGGCCUGCGGGUUGUAAACCGCUUUCGCCUGUGACGAAGCGUGAGUGACGGUAAUGGGUAAAGAAGCACCGGCUAACUACGUG
rnacentral:rRNA from 1 species